rnacentral:rRNA from 1 species
ACAGGAUUAGAUACCCUGGUAGUCCACGCCGUAAACGAUGAGUGCUAAGUGUUGGAGGGUUUCCCCCUUCAGUGCUGCAGUUAACGCAUUAAGCACUCCGCCUGGGGAGUACGGCCGCAAGGCUGAAACUCAAAGGAAUUGACGGGGGCCCGCACAAGCGGUGGAGCAUGUGGUUUAAUUCGAAGCAACGCGAAGAACCUUACCAGGUCUUGACAUCCUUUGACCACUCUAGAGAUAGAGCUUUCCCUUCGGGGACAAAGUGACAGGUGGUGCAUGGUUGUCGUCAGCUCGUGUCGUGAGAUGUUGGGUUAAGUCCCGCAACGAGCGCAACCCUUAUUGUUAGUUGCCAUCAUUCAGUUGGGCACUCUAGCGAGACUGCCGGUGACAAACCGGAGGAAGGUGGGGAUGACGUCAAAUCAUCAUGCCCCUUAUGACCUGGGCUACACACGUGCUACAAUGGACGGUACAAUGAGUCGCGAGACCGCGAGGUUUAGCUAAUCUCUUAAAGCCGUUCUCAGUUCGGAUUGUAGGCUGCAACUCGCCUACAUGAAGCCGGAAUCGCUAGUAAUCGUGGAUCAGCACGCCACGGUGAAUACGUUCCCGGGCCUUGUACACACCGCCCGUCACACCACGAGAGUUUGUAACACCCAAAGUCGGUGAGGUAACCUUUUGGAGCCAGCCGCCUAAGGUGGGAUAGAUGAUUGGGGUGAAGUCGUAACAAGGUAACCA